UGCGCCUGGAGCUUGCUGGUUACAUGAUGGAUUCACAGUGCAGGCUUGCUAAACUGAGCACCCAAACACAUGUGCCAAACCAGGUCCCUUGCUAGCGCACCCACGCGCACCUAGGCACCCCUGCCACUCCAUGCUCCUCGCCCUUUUCACUCGUUGCAGGUGGAUGAAAUGCUCCAUGCGCCCUUUGCAUGCAUCCACGCAUACCGUACAUACACAUAUAGCUCUAACACACUUCCCAUGCAUCUGCAUUGCUUGCCCUCUCCAUCCCCUCCAGCGCCUCCCCCACCUCGAACGUGGCAUACCCUUAACCCACCUCGAACGUGGCAUACCACUCCUCAGACCAUAUCGUACGUCAUUUGCACUAGGUUACUACUGCAAUUAAGAACGCCCGCACGUAAGAACAGCAAUCGCCGGUUCCAUUGCAGUAGUCGGGGCGCAUGCCGCCCGUGGAAAGGGUGGCGAAAGGUCCUUCGACUUGACGUACGUGCCGCACAGAACGCACCAGCCCUUCUCGACGCCCAUUGCAGCGAACGCCUGCAUGCACAACAGAGAACCCAAUUCAUACACCUCAGAUAACAGCAAGUAAUGGUUAGGAAUGUGGGUCGAUGACAUGCAAUCGGCACGCCACCACCAGACCGGGCGUUGUUAACCACAGGGAACUAGCCCUAUGUUGACCAUAUGCUCAUAUGAUAACGAAACACAAUGUGGGCACGGCUGUAUGCAUGCGUUUGCCCGGGGCCAGUGCAUCCCGAUGCUGCGAGCUGACAUUGACGAGUGUGGUGGGAACGAAUGCGUACGUAGACCAGAGCGGACGGCGGAGUGGGCUUGGCUGGCGUGCCGUAGGUGCGCUCGGCCCUCCAUCCAGUCAAUCGGCAUCCUGAGUAUACUAGAAAUAGCGGAACGAGCCAAGGCAAACAAUUUAUGACGUGCAAGGAAUGUUGCAUGGCGCCCCGAGUUCGAAACUGCAUUGGUUAACUGCAGUGCGCUGCAGGUGCCAUGAUCCCUGGUGUUGAUGCAUGUGGUGCUGGUAGCGGGUACCAAAAGCUGGCCCCUCUGCACCCGGACCCCCGCUUCAAACUGCGAGCUAAAAUCCUGGACGCGCGGGCAACGCUUUGCAGAUUUCGUCCGUGACCACCUCGUUGAUAUGGUAUAGGUAAUAGCGGAAAGGCUUGAUACAGGUAUAAGAAGCAGCAGAGCGUUAAAAUGUGAAGCAACCAAAGCCAGCGACGCCUCAGAUGAUAUGCCCGAUGCGCUAGGCUAAAUAUAGGAGCAAAGGAUAGCCCAUAUCAUUCAUCGGAACAAGACUAAGGGCGGUGCCGGCGACCCUACCGUCAGAGCAGAGCCCUCCAGCGCCCAGAGCAGCCAACAGCGACCGCCUUGUCCGCUUCGCUCCAUCUACUUCGUAACACUUCUAGAUGGUCACCUGGCGCACCGGGCGCUGCAUCGAGGCCGGAAAUGCGGUAAUGCUGUUCACAUGGUCAAGUUUCGUCAAAGGCCAGUAAACUAGUCGCCCGGCGCGCCAGGGGUCUUCUAUGGGGUACUCCUUAUAGGUCUAUGCAAAGAAAUCGGGCCGGGGCCUGGUCGCAACUGGGAAUUGGGGGCGGUUGCCGACCGUUACCGAUCACAUGGGCCGAGUUGGCCACCCCGCACCCCUGACUUGCGUCGUGUAAUUGCAAGUCUUGGCCGAUCUCACCACCAUUUGCCCCGCCGCACUUAAGGGCUUCUUCUCUGGGUGCCGAGCCGUGUCUCACCACACGGAGACGGAUGCUAUCAUACAAUUUCUCGACCUUGCGCGGGCCUUUCACGCGCCUUGUGUUCAUCUAGGCAAAGCGUCGUCCACCGCUUUGACCUGAGCGCCACAUGGCUACCUGGGCAAGGUGAUUUAAAUGGAUUGAAAAUGCCGCGACUAUGCUGUGGCGUAAUUGCAGAGUUGUAGAUUGCACCAGCGCUUUGCAGCGGCUGUGCGUGGCUAGCAGACCCCGUGUUACUGGGGUUUUAUUUUGCUCCGCGGUCGCUAUGCCGCAACACGCGCUUGCCAAACCCUAUCGCGAACUUCGCGUUUCCUCAAGCUCCUAAGACCGCCCCAAUGCCUUUGCGACCUCUCUUGUGAUUUGACAUCGCUUUCGUUGCAUCCGAUAGGCCAUGGAUGCAGUACCUCGGGCCCUUUACCUCGCAACGAUUCGCCACAGUCGCCAGUCAAUUAAAGUCCAUGGACGCGCGAGGUCGCUUCUCGCUCCGGCCGAGUUUUACCUGCUACCUAUUUCUCUACAAUAGGGAAUAGCAAGUAAUAUUACGUGACGCUCGCGGUUUGUGCCAGUUUGGCACUUUUUGUCUUUUGGAUCGCUUCGCUCGGGGGACUCAGCCCAAAAAGUAUUAGGUGUCAGCAUACACACUCAUGAGAAGCUCAAAACUAGCCUGUGCCGGAAUGUGUGCACAUGUGCACCAAGCUGCGGCUCCAGCCUCCGCCCGAUGCAGCCUCCGGUAUCUCCUUGUCGUCAGCCACCUGUUGCUUGGGAGGCGGCGGCUGAGGCGCAGCAGCAGCACGAUUGGCCCCGGCCACGCCUGUCACGGUCGGCGGCGCCUAUGGCUUGAUGGCCAGGAUGAAAUGAAGGCAGGAGGCACGAAACACUCACAAGCACUACAGUACUUAUCCAAGCAAGCUAUUUCCCCGUGUGUUCCUGCAUUACCACACUAGCGGACCGCCAUGCGAUCCAUGGGGCGUGCCCCAAAGGGAGUCAAGUGACAUGGGACGCAACCUGACGCAACGCACGGUGUUAUAGUGCUGAGCUUGAGAGCAGGCGUGUGCAAGUAGUGACCCUUCGUGGCGUAGAGGUGAGGUGAAAGGAGGCUGGUAUAGGAUUGGCGACUGAAGUCUCCGUAUGAUCUGGAGUGCCAGAGUUGUAACAUACGUACGUAGAGCGAAAGGUACUGCGGAUGCUGGCGUGCGCACAACCUUCCGGACCGGUGACUGGGGCGGGGUCGGGGUCAGGGGGGUUAGGGGCUGUGCGUCGGAUGGUUGGACGUCGAGCCCUACACGUUUUGCAAAUACCGGUAUGACGAUAACAGAGUCUCAGCAUCGCCGCAUUGCUUCAUAUACCGCAUGCACGCUCAGUCCGCAGGUAUUGUAUUGAACAAAACGGCAGCAUGGCCAUUAAAAGUCGCGACUCCGCGGGACGAAGCGGGGCUGGCAAGAACUUCGUUGCGGCGAAACCGUCUUCGUAAUCCAGGCUGCCUUGAUAAAUAGAUACCAAUGCCUAAGAUGUAUAGCUCUGAUUUAUUGGGGCGGCUGUAUUAUGGGGAAAUGCUCGCGCUCGCAGCACACGCGCCCGCGAGGCUUCUGACAGGUAUAUAGGUGCCCAUAUUGAAGCCAUUUAUAUGUUAGCAAAUUUAACCGGACCAGCGGGAGCGUCUGCGAUAAGAUCGGCAUCUAAGAUGUCUUUCUUGCAGCUGAGGAGUUCAUAACAUAUGUUUGAGUGUGUUAAAACUCUUGCUGCCACAGUUACUUUCGCG
rnacentral:lncRNA from 1 species